CCCUUAGAUGUUCUGGGCUGCACGCGCGCUACACUGAUGCACUCAACGAGUUUACGACCUUGCCCGAUAGGGUUGGGUAAUCUUUUUAAAAUGCGUCGUGAUGGGGAUAGAUUAUUGCAAUUAUUAAUCUUCAACGAGGAAUGCCUAGUAAGCGCAAGUCAUCAGCUUGCGUUGAUUACGUCCCUGCCCUUUGUACACACCGCCCGUCGCUCCUACCGAUUGAAUGGUCCGGUGAAGCGUUCGGACCGUGGCCUUUGGACGGUUCGCCGUCUGUUGGCUGCGGGAAGUUCGUUAAACCUUAUCAUUUAGAGGAAGGAGAAGUCGUAACA
rnacentral:rRNA from 1 species